GAUGAACGCUGGCGGCGUGCCUAAUACAUGCAAGUCGAGCGAACAGACGAGGAGCUUGCUCCUCUGACGUUAGCGGCGGACGGGUGAGUAACACGUGGAUAACCUACCUAUAAGACUGGGAUAACUUCGGGAAACCGGAGCUAAUACCGGAUAAUAUAUUGAACCGCAUGGUUCAAUAGUGAAAGACGGUUUUGCUGUCACUUAUAGAUGGAUCCGCGCCGCAUUAGCUAGUUGGUAAGGUAACGGCUUACCAAGGCGACGAUGCGUAGCCGACCUGAGAGGGUGAUCGGACACACUGGAACUGAGACAAGGUCCAGACUCCUACGGGAGGCAGCAGUAGGGAAUCUUCCGCAAUGGACGAAAGCCUGACGGAGCAACGCCGCGUGAGUGAUGAAGGUCUUCGGAUCGUAAAACUCUGUUAUUAGGGAAGAACAAAUGUGUAAGUAACUAUGCACGUCUUGACGGUACCUAAUCAGAAAGCCACGGCUAACUACGUG
rnacentral:rRNA from 1 species